rnacentral:rRNA from 1 species
AGCAGCCGCGGUAAUUCCAGCUCCAAUAGCGUAUAUUAAAGUUGUUGCAGUUAAAAAGCUCGUAGUUGAAUUUCGGGAUUGACACAUCGGUCGUGCCUUAAGGGGUAUGAACUGGUGUAGUCAAUUUCUCACCUUCUGGAGAACCGCGAUGCCCUUAAUUGGGUGUCGCGGGGAACCAGGACCUUUACUUUGAAAAAUUAGAGUGUUUAAAGCAGGCAUUUUGCUUGAAUACAUUAGCAUGGAAUAAUAAAAUAGGACGGCAUGAUUCUAUUUUGUUGGUUUCUAGGAUCACCGUAAUGAUUAAUAGGGAUAGUUGGGGGCAUUAGUAUUCAAUUGUCAGAGGUGAAAUUCUUGGAUUUAUUGAAGACUAACUACUGCGAAAGCAUUUGCCAAGGAUGUUUUCAUUAAUCAAGAACGAAAGUUAGGGGAUCGAAGACGAUCAGAUACCGUCGUAGUCUUAACCAUAAACUAUGCCGACUAGGAAUCAGACGAUGUUAAUUUUUAAUGUACUC